GAUGAACGCUGGCGGCGUGCCUAAUACAUGCAAGUCGAGCGAACGGACGAGAAGCUUGCUUCUCUGAUGUUAGCGGCGGACGGGUGAGUAACACGUGGAUAACCUACCUAUAAGACUGGGAUAACUUCGGGAAACCGGAGCUAAUACCGGAUAAUAUUUUGAACCGCAUGGUUCAAAAGUGAAAGACGGUCUUGCUGUCACUUAUAGAUGGAUCCGCGCUGCAUUAGCUAGUUGGUAAGGUAACGGCUUACCAAGGCAACGAUGCAUAGCCGACCUGAGAGGGUGAUCGGCCACACUGGAACUGAGACACGGUCCAGACUCCUACGGGAGGCAGCAGUAGGGAAUCUUCCGCAAUGGGCGAAGGCCUGACGGAGCAACGCCGCGUGAGUGAUGAAGGUCUUCGGAUCGUAAAACUCUGUUAUUAGGGAAGAACAUAUGUGUAAGUAACUGUGCACAUCUUGACGGUACCUAAUCAGAAAGCCACGGCUAACUACGUGCCAGCAGCCGCGGUAAUACGUAGGUGGCAAGCGUUAUCCGGAAUUAUUGGGCGUAAAGCGCGCGUAGGCGGUUUUUUAAGUCUGAUGUGAAAGCCCACGGCUCAAUCGUGGAGGGUCAUUGGAAACUGGAAAACUUGAGUGCAGAAGAGGAAAGUGGAAUUCCAUGUGUAGCGGUGAAAUGCGCAGAGAUAUGGAGGAACACCAGUGGCGAAGGCGACUUUCUGGUCUGUAACUGACGCUGAUGUGCGAAAGCGUGGGGAUCAAACAGGAUUAGAUACCCUGGUAGUCCACGCCGUAAACGAUGAGUGCUAAGUGUUAGGGGGUUUCCGCCCCUUAGUGCUGCAGCUAACGCAUUAAGCACUCCGCCUGGGGAGUACGACCGCAAGGUUGAAACUCAAAGGAAUUGACGGGGACCCGCACAAGCGGUGGAGCAUGUGGUUUAAUUCGAAGCAACGCGAAGAACCUUACCAAAUCUUGACAUCCUUUGACAACUCUAGAGAUAGAGCUUUCCCCUUCGGGGGACAAAGUGACAGGUGGUGCAUGGUUGUCGUCAGCUCGUGUCGUGAGAUGUUGGGUUAAGUCCCGCAACGAGCGCAACCCUUAAGCUUAGUUGCCAUCAUUAAGUUGGGCACUCUAAGUUGACUGCCGGUGACAAACCGGAGGAAGGUGGGGAUGACGUCAAAUCAUCAUGCCCCUUAUGAUUUGGGCUACACACGUGCUACAAUGGACAAUACAAAGGGCAGCGAAACCGCGAGGUCAAGCAAAUCCCAUAAAGUUGUUCUCAGUUCGGAUUGUAGUCUGCAACUCGACUACAUGAAGCUGGAAUCGCUAGUAAUCGUAGAUCAGCAUGCUACGGUGAAUACCGUUCCCCGGUCU
rnacentral:rRNA from 1 species